GCGAUCAUGGUGAAAUUGGUAGACACGCUAUCUUGAGGGGGUAGUGCCGUUACGGUGUGCGAGUUCAAGUCUCGCUGAUCGCACCA
rnacentral:tRNA from 1 species